GAUGAACGCUGGCGGCGUGCCUAACACAUGCAAGUCGAGCGAUUCUCUUCGGAGAAGAGCGGCGGACGGGUGAGUAACGCGUGGGUAACCUGCCCUGUACACACGGAUAACAUACCGAAAGGUAUGCUAAUACGAGAUAAUAUGCUUUUAUCGCAUGGUAGAAGCAUCAAAGCUUUUGCGGUACAGGAUGGACCCGCGUCUGAUUAGCUAGUUGGUAAGGUAACGGCUUACCAAGGCGACGAUCAGUAGCCGACCUGAGAGGGUGAUCGGCCACAUUGGAACUGAGACACGGUCCAAACUCCUACGGGAGGCAGCAGUGGGGAAUAUUGCACAAUGGGCGAAAGCCUGAUGCAGCAACGCCGCGUGAGCGAUGAAGGCCUUCGGUCGUAAGCUCUGUCCUCAAGGAAGAUAAUGACGGUACUUGAGGAGGAAGCCCGGCCUAACUACGUGCCAGCAGCCGCGGUAAACUAGUACUACG
rnacentral:rRNA from 1 species